rnacentral:tRNA from 1 species
GGGGAUAUAGCUCAGCUGCAUAAGCGCCUGCCUGGCAAGCACAAUGUUGUGAGUUCAAUUCCCAGUACCCCCC